GGCGAGAGACGAUAGCGAACAAGUACCGUGAGGGAAAGAUGAAAAGAACUUUGAAAAGAGAGUUAAACAGUACGUGAAAUUGUUGAAAGGGAAACGAUUGAAGCCAGUCGUACCUACGGGUAAUCAGCCUUUCGGGUGUGAUUCUGUGGGGCGUGAAGAGUUAAACGCCNUCAUGCCUGCAUAUUCGGCACUUUGGGUGUACUUGCCCG
rnacentral:rRNA from 1 species